rnacentral:lncRNA from 1 species
UGACAUAUAGUACUUCACCGCCAACUAUCAAUACAAUUCAUGCCACAACUAUCACUAACCAACUAAUUAACUCCACUACCAACUAACUGCACUAUCUAACUAACUACCUCUCUAGUCAGUUGUAAAAAUAAUUAUGCUACUAUCAACCAAUUCAACUAAUUAUAGCUAAUCAUCUAUUUCAGGAACAUUGUCUUCAAUAAUCACCACUUUUGUUCUACCUAAAAAAUAUCCUUCGGUGUGACACCUGUAUAUGAAUGACUAUAUAUUUAUUGAUCCCUGUUCUGUUUGAUAAGAUAGUUGGUUUCAUAGACAGAAUAUUUGUUUUGUGUGAAGCAAUAAAUUCUUAAAAUAGUAUGGCUUUGUGGAACUCAG